rnacentral:rRNA from 1 species
CAGGCCUAACACAUGCAAGUCGAGCGGAAAGGCCUUUCGGGGUACUCGAGCGGCGAACGGGUGAGUACACACGUGAGUCAUCUGCCCAUCGCUUCAGGAUAGCCAUCGGAAACGGUGAUUAAUACUGGAUAUGACAUUCCUUCGCAUGUUGGGGUGUGGAAAGUUUUUUCGGCGGUGGAUGUGCUCGCGGCCUAUCAGCUUGUUGGUGGGGUAAUGGCCUACCAAGGCUUUGACGGGUAGCCGGCCUGAGAGGGUGACCGGCCACACUGGGACUGAGACACGGCCCAGACUCCUACGGGAGGCAGCAGUGGGGAAUAUUGGACAAUGGGCGGAAGCCUGAUCCAGCAACGCCGCGUGAGGGAUGACGGCCUUCGGGUUGUAAACCUCUUUCAGCACAGACGAAGUUUUUGCUUUUUUGGGUGAAGUGACGGUAUGUGCAGAAGAAGGACCGGCCAACUACGUGCCAGCAGCGCGUAAU